rnacentral:rRNA from 1 species
GAUGAACGCUGGCGGCGUGCCUAAUACAUGCAAGUCGAGCGAACAGAUAAGGAGCUUGCUCCUUUGACGUUAGCGGCGGACGGGUGAGUAACACGUGGGUAACCUACCUAUAAGACUGGGAUAACUUCGGGAAACCGGAGCUAAUACCGGAUAACAUUUGGAACCGCAUGGUUCUAAAGUGAAAGAUGGUUUUGCUAUCACUUAUAGAUGGACCCGCGCCGUAUUAGCUAGUUGGUAAGGUAACGGCUUACCAAGGCGACGAUACGUAGCCGACCUGAGAGGGUGAUAGGCCACACUGGAACUGAGACACGGUCCAGACUCCUACGGGAGGCAGCAGUAGGGAAUCUUCCGCAAUGGGCGAAAGCCUGACGGAGCAACGCCGCGUGAGUGAUGAAGGGUUUCGGCUCGUAAAACUCUGUUAUUAGGGAAGAACAAACGUGUAAGUAACUGUGCACGUCUUGACGGUACCUAAUCAGAAAGCCACGGCUAACUACGUG